rnacentral:rRNA from 1 species
GGGCCCGCACAAGCGGUGGACCAUGUGGUUUAAUUCUACGCAACGCGAAGAACCUUACCUAGGCUUGACAUGCAGGAGCAAGCUCUCAGAAACGAGAGCCCCUCUUCGGAGAUCCUGCACAGGUGCUGCAUGGCUGUCGUCAGCUCGUGUCGUGAGAUGUUGGGUUAAGUCCCGCAACGAGCGCAACCCUCGUUCUAUGUUGCCAGCGCGUAAUGGCGGGGACUCAUAGGAGACUGCCGGGGUCAACUCGGAGGAAGGUGGGGAUGACGUCAAAUCAUCAUGCCCCUUAUGUCUUGGGCUGCACACAUGCUACAAUGGCCGGUACAAAGGGCUGCAAUACCGCAAGGUGGAGCUAAUCCCAAAAAGCCGGUCUCAGUUCGGAUUGGGGUCUGCAACUCGACCCCAUGAAGUCGGAGUCGCUAGUAAUCGCAGAUCAGCAACGCUGCGGUGAAUACGUUCCCGGGCCUUGUACACACCGCCCGUCACGUCACGAAAGUUGGUAACACCCGAAGCCAGUGGCCCAACUCGCAAGAGAGGGAGCUGUCGAAGGUGGGAUCAGCGAUUGGGACG